ACAAAAUAAGUGCAGACACAAAAUAAAAUCGAACACAAACAUCGAAUGCCCUUAGAAUAAACUGUGAAAUUGUAAAACUCAUUAAAAUGACAAUGGAAUAAAUAAAUAUUAUUGACUUUGGUUUAUUGGUUGUGGAUCGAGCCUGCGACUGGCAGGACUAUUAUGGAAAUUAAUUAAAUUACGCACAGAUAUGGAUACUAGAUGGGCAGAUACGAGGAUAAUUGCCAGUUCAGGACCAGAAUAUAAUAACUAGAUAUUAUUAAGCAUUAUAUUUGAGUUAAAUGGCUCGAAAUGAGAAGGAAGUUGCCCCCAUUAAAGGGGUAAACUGUUGCUAAGCCCCCCAAAAGGGUUCCUUGGCCCCCAAAGGCAAACACCGGGGCCAUGGCUAAUAGUGUGAAAACAAAGCAAGGACCUCCACGAAACUGAAACCCAAAAGAGAGCCCACCAACAAGGCCACAAAGGACAACAAAAAAAAUAAGAAAUAUAGAAGAAAAUAUCGUAAAAUACUAAGCGUAAAAUAUAAAAAAAUGUUAUUAGCAUUAAGAAAUGGCCAAGUGUCUUACACACAAGUACAGUAACAGGAAUGCGGCUGGAGAAUGGCAGGAAACAGCAGGGAUCGCCACUAAAAACUGAAAGCGAACCAAAAUUUAACCAAUUUAUGGACUAAGCCCUCCUAAAACACUCUAUAAAGGCCUAUAAUAAUAGAAUGUCAAUGAAAAUGAUAUUAUUCGGUAAUAAGGCGAGGACGUAACAUAAGAAAAUUGUGAUUCCGCCGUAAAUUCUGUCGUCUUCGUGUUAAUUACAUGAACUCAAGCAUGACACCAUUUUGCACAACACUUAUACAGGGCCCACCCCUUAGGGGUGGUAGUGGGAGUUAUGGGCUCGUGACAGAGCCUAACGACAGAAAUCGACAGGCCCGAACAUGCAAAUCAAAUUAUUUUGGAAUAUAAAAUGCUUAUUAACGGAUUAUAUGCUCACUCAAUAUGACUUGGAGAGUGGAGAGAGUGAGAGAGUGGAGAGUGCCUCCCUUUUGGAUCUCCUAUUAAUGGCCGAUAACUUUAUUUAUCGACCAGCCUAGGCUAUCGAAAUAAAUGACACCACCAGGCAACCGGAAGUUAAAGUUACAAAAAAUGUCAGAUUUUGAAGAAGAAAUGGAGACUGAUGGAUGUCCUGGUUAAUAAUCAGGAGAAAGUGAAGAGAUAUUAGGAAAAUUGUGGAAG
rnacentral:sRNA from 1 species